AUGACUGAUACAGAGGCAGCAGUGAAAGACACAAUGAGGAUGACUGGAUGUGGAAGCUGCGGCAUGUACAUGAUCCUGGAGGGGGUACCUGAAAAGAGUUUUGUUUGCAUGAAGUGCAGCCUGAUAGAAUUGAUGGAAGAAAAGAUCCGAGGACUGGAGAUGCAGGUGGAAUCUCUGGUUGAGUUUAGGAGGGGGUUUGAGCAGCUGAUGGAGCACAGACACGAGGGGGUUGAAGGGAUAAGCUCAGACGUGCAGAUGGAAGCAGGACCAAAGAAUUCAGAGGAGAGACUGCUGGGUGAGGAAAGUGGACGGUGGAAGCAUGUGACUAAGAGAACCAGGCAGAGGAAAAGACGGGCCAGUGAAGGAGAAUUAGAACUGAGGAACAGGUUUGCAGAGUUGGAAAAUGAAGAAGGGGCACAGCAGGUGGCCGCUGAAGGAGAGAGGGAAAGGAAAAAGAGAAGAGCUGAUAGUCCUGCAAGAGGAGAGGAGGAGUCAAUGGAGGCAACACCAAAUAUGAGCCCCAGGAGGAUUGCAAGGGGGAAUAGGAAUCGAGAGGACUUGCAGCCAGUGGGUGCGGGGGAUAGACCGGAGAAUCACACUGUCACCAGGAAAAGGCAGGUCUACGUGAUUGGAGACUCCUUACUGAGAAGAAUAGACAGGCCUGUAACUAGAGCUGAUCGGGGGAACAGAAGGGUGUGCUAUCUGCCGGGUGCUAAGAUACAGGAUGUGGACCUGAGGCUGAAAAGGAUCCUAGCAGGAGCGGGGAAGAAUCUGUUGAUUGUCCUUCAUGUGGGAACGAAUGAUAUGGCUAGAUACUCUCUGGAAUGUAUCAAGGGAGACUAUGCCAGACUGAGGAAGACGCUUAAGGAAAUCGAGGCUCAGGUGAUCUUCAGUGGGAUUCUGCCCAUUCCUAGAGAAGGGCGACAAAGGUGUAACAAGAUUAUGGUGAUCAACAGAUGGCUCAGGCAGUGGUGCUAUAAGGAGGGCUUUGGGAUGUACGGCCAUUGGGAAGCAUUUACGGACAGAAGACUGUUCUCUCAGGAUGGACUUCACCUGAGUAAGGAGGGAAAUAGACUUCUAGGACGGAGGCUCGCCGAACUGAUUAAGAGUGCUUUAAACUAGAAAUUUGGGGAGAUGGUUGGGAGAUGUCCAGGAGAUCUCCAUGCCGGAAUUUAACCUUGAGAGGGAAGUAAACAAAGUAAGAGGGGAUACAGCCGUGGACAGAAAAAUUGGCAUAAGGAGGAAGGGUAGUGUAACUAACAGGUGAUGUUGGUGGUAGAAUGCCCGUGCCUAACAGGGUACAGAAUGUGAGUGAAGCCAAACGGCAAAAAUUAAGAUGUCUGUACACUAAUGCGAGGAGCCUAGGCAACAAAAUGGAGGAACUAGAGCUACUGGUGCAGGAAGUGAAACCGGAUAUUAUAGGGAUAACAGAAACAUGGUGGAAUAGUAGUCAUGACUGGAGUACAGGUAUUGAAGGCUAUGUGCUGUUUAGGAAAGACAGAAAUAAAGGCAAAGGUGGUGGAGUAGCAUUGUACAUCAAUGAGGAGGUUAACUGUAAAGAAAUAACAAGUGAUGGAAUGGACAAGACAGAGUCUGUCUGGGCAAAAAUCACACUGGGAAAGAAAACUACUAGAGCCUCCCCUGAGAUAGUGCUUGGGGUGUGCUACAGACCGCCGGGAUCUGAUUUGGAUAUGGAUAGAGACCUCUUUAAUGUUCUUAAUGAAGUAAACACUAAUGGGAAAUGUGUGAUCAUGGGAGACUUUAACUUCCCAGAUAUAGACUGGAGGACAAGUGCUAGCAAGAAUAAUAGGGCUCAGAUUUUUCUGGAUGUGAUAGCAGAUGGAUUUCUUCACCAAGUAGUUGAAGAACCGACAAGAGGGGAUGCCAUUUUAGAUUUGGUUUUGGUGCAGUGGACACGAUGUAUGGAUGCGAGGCCCAGGACCUUCGACUCUCCAGCUGACUGGGAGUCUUUGAGGAGGACCACUGGGGAGUCCUGAGGACAGAUGGGCUCCGUCGCAGGCGGAGAGACCCUCUGGGAUGCUGAGCACCAGGGAAGCAGCAGGACCCUUCACAGGGAAGGUGGAUUUGCUGUGGGGGCAGAGGUGGGUGGUGAUGGUAGGCCUCUCCUUCCUCCAGGGGUGAGGUUCUUCUCACUGGCUCUGGAGUGGUGUGAAGACCCAACCGUACAGGCGCUGCCGCUGGAACGGACAGCCCCGCGCUGGCGCUGAACAAGAUAUUGUAUCGUCUUUAUGGCGGGAAAAGUUCUGAGGGAACGGGGUGUUGGGGGCUGGCUCUGGCGGGAAAAGCUGGUUCUGUCCAGUUUGAGCCAGGAGACUCCAGCUUCUUAACUGUAAACAAGUCAGCUUACAAAGAUGGAGUCCAACGGUCACAGUUCAAAUACCCCAUGUUGGAUUUCAUUAAAGCCAAUGAUUCACAUAAUAUUACCUCAUAAAUACAUUAUUAAAAGAGAGAAUUGAACACGUUAAACAGUAACAACAUUCCUUACUUAUUUAUACCUAAGAAGGACUACAGCAUUCCUGUGCCAAAAGCUUCUGCACGAGGAGAGGGUUAAUACACUGCAUAAGCCACAGACACCACGAUGGAAAAUCCCUACUUUAUGGUCUAAUCCGGUGGUUCUUAACCUUUUCCAUACCAGGUUCCAACAGCAAAGAGGGUGGGGACCCUGCUCCUUGCCUUCUAGGUGCAGAGAGAGGGAGGGGGGUCACCAGUGGAGCUGGCCAGGACAGAGAAGCUCCAUCCUGUGAAAAAGUUCCAGGUGGCGAUAAAUCUUUCUGUCCCAAAUCCAGAUGAAAAGUUAAAAAGUCAUGGGGGUUUAAAUGCUACAGUGUUGGGCUGCUCUGGUUUUUUCCUCACCACAGGGAUAUUACAUUUAAUUAUAUUAUGGUCACUAUUACCAUAGUGGUCCAACUAUAGUCACCUCUUGGAUCAGAUCCUGUGCUCCGGACUUUACAUCUUAUGAAGUCAUUUGCCAAAGUGCAAAAUGAGUGUAAAAUGCUACCAUUGUUAUUUGGUACUGUUUGACACUCAUUUUGCACAGAGAGGAAGAAUUACACCCUGUGCAGGGCAAUGGCAAAUAAAGCCCCUUCUGACGGCCUCUCAGGGAUUCUUGUAACUACAUUAAGAUUUCUUAUUUUUCACCCAUUUUCUAUCUGGGACCAUGCCACCCUGAACGUGCCUGUGUUCAGAAGCUACGUGGAGUUGGGGGUGCUUAGGGCUUGGAUGGGAGACCCUGUUUGCUUGAUGUCUGGUGAGAGUUUAUAGCUAGGACCCUACCAUUUAGCAUGUUUCUUGCCCCGUUCAUUGCAAAGAAAUCUAUUAGCAGACAAGCAGGCAUUUACUAGAGCAGUUAGAACGGAAAGGUUGCAACUAGCCUCCCUUUCCUGUAUAUAAGAAGGGUCAUAAGAAAUGUGAUUACUAGCCAAAGUCCUCUGGAGGGCAAGAGAGUAUAGAGAUAACUGAUCUUCAUGACUAGUCCUAGGGCUAUCCCUUUGGAUUAUGCAUUAUUUGUAGAUGCUACCUCCUCAAUCCUUCCUCUGUAGCUAGGCAAAUAAAGUCUUUGGUGUGAGCCAGUGGCUAGAAUGCUGGUCUGGAACUUGGGAGACCGUCAUUUGAUUGUCUUCAUCACAGACUUCCUGGAUGACUCUUGGGAAAUUACUUACAGCUAGUUUUUUAAGGUGCCUCCACAAGGCACCGUUGGAAUGUUCACAUCAAGCUACCACCGCUGGCUGCAAUUGUAACAACCAUCAUUUACAUCUAUUCGACCUUUUACUAAAGACAGAAAAAAUGGGAGGGGAGGGAGGAGACAGUUAAAGCAUUUGAGAUAUAAAGUGGUACAUGUAAAGGCUUUCAUUGUACUGGAGAUAAGAUGUAAAUACUUAACAGUGAAGGGAAUUAACCAUUGGGACAACGGACCAAGGGCUGUAGUGGAUUCUCCAUCACUGGCCAUUUUUAAAUCAAGGUUCAAUGUUUUUUCUAAAAAAUAAUCCUUAGGAUUUUUUUCCAGGGAGUUCUCUAGGGUGUGUUAUAGAGAGGGGUUCAUACUGUCCCCUUUUGGCCUUGGACUCUAUGAAACUCAGCAUUGCCAACUCUCAUGAUAAUUAUUGUUUUCCUUGAAGUUCCAGCUCCUGGACUGAGGUGGAUAUGUGAUGAUCUCAGCCUACAUCCUUAAAGAAAAAGCAAGUUUCUAGCCCUGGUGGCUGUGGAGAAAGCUUCAAAACGUGACCCCAGUGCACCCUAAAGGCUCCAAAAGUGGGAAACAAAUAAAAAGAUCCCCAAAUCUGUUAUAUUUACAUCA